GGAAUGUUUAUUUCCUACUUUGUUUAAAAGAAAAAGAUAUCCAUUUUGCUUUCUUGAUUUUGAAGUUAUAGAAAUUAUCUAAUUUACUCCUCCUAAGGCAGACAAGGGUUUUGCUUGCUCAGUGUCCUCUGUGCCCAUCACUGCCACAUCCUGAAACUCCGUCAAACCUGCGAAACACUUCUCAGUCAAGUCAAGAACAUUAAUACCUGAUCUACUGUUUUCCUUGGGGACUUCUCUAUGAAGCCUGUCACUGGCUCCAGUGUGGACUGGGUUCCCCUUGGCCAGCUGCAUAGCAGGCAUAAUGGGCCUUCUUUUCUUUGUCGUCUCUCUCUCCUCCUGGGAACCCUCUGUUUCCUGGAUCUCAGGCUUUUUCAUUGAUUCUCUUAUCUGCGCCUAUGCACUGAGCGAGAGGCCGUGGGCAAUGAAUAUGUUGACAUCUUGCACAUCUGAGAAUAUUGUUAUUCCACCCUCAGACUUGAUUUAUAGUUGAGUUGAGAACAUAAUUCCAGUUAGAAUUCAUUUCCUCAGGACUAUGAAGCAUUUCUCUAUUGUCUUCUACCUGCCAGUAUUGCCACUCAGAAGCUUGAUGCCUUUAUAAUUCCUGAGCAUACGUGACCUGCUGCUUUUUCAUGUCAGGAAGCUCUUAGAAUCCUCUCUUUAGUGCUAGUGUUCUGCAUUUUCUUGAUGAUACGCUUUGGUAUGGUCUUUUUUCCUCUUUCUGCUAGAUAGGAAGUGGGCCCUAUUAAUCUGGAAAUUUAUGGCCUUCAAUUAAUGGAAAUUACUUGUUCUUUGGGAUAUUGAAUGGAAAAUGUUUAAAAUUCCAGAUUCCAACUACAAUCUUUCGGAACCUAAUCUCAGGAGUGGCAUUCCAUCUAUUGGUCAUAUUCUAUUUGUUGAGGCUCGUCAGUAAACUCAACUGGAGGGGAGGAGAUUACACCAGCAUGUGAGUACCAAGAAGGGGACCAUCCGGAGCCAUCUUGGAGGCUGCCUACCACACCUUACUUAAAAACAGACAAGAGUCAGAAUCUCUUCACUUCAUCUGCUUUUCAUGAGAGUGAAACAGUGUUACCUGUAGCAAUACAGGGCCUCAGUCUGAUGUCGAAGAUUUUCCUGAGAUCUCCUACAGACAGAAGGAAUAUGGAAGACUUUUUUCCCCAGAACAGCAACUACAAUAAUUCUAUAAGAUGAUCUUAUCCUGCUAAGAGUAUUAACAAGAAAAAUCACUAAUAGGAAAAUUAAGAGACAUUCAUUACAAAAGUGAUUACUCAAACUCAAAUACAGUUAUCUCAUUUCUCAAAGAAAAGUCUAAAAACCCAGAGAAUUAAAAUCGGAGUUUUUGAGGCAGUUUCCAUAACUCUAUCAUUUCCAGCAGGGAGAAAAAUCAGAGGUGAACCACACCUGGUUCUCUGGGGACAUUUGCUCUGGGGGAAGCCAGCUACCAUGUAAGAAGCCCAAUUUCCCUGGGACUGAUUGUAAAGGCCAGAGGUAGGCCUUCUGAAGGGAAGCCUUACUGAGCUCUCAGCCACCGGCCAGCCACAAUGAGCAGUCACAUGAGUGAAUGACUUGGAAGUCCAGCUCUGUUCAGCAUGCUGAUGUCUGACAUUUGCCUGCAACUGCAUGAAAGAUUCCAAUUACCCCCAGUCAAUCACAGACAUCAUCUGCUCCUGACAUCCAACCAUCCACAUCGUCAAGGCUCGAUGAUGCUCCUUCUGACGUAUCGUCAGAAGGCCAAUAGUAGCCUGAGGCUAUCACAACACCUCCAUCAUUCACGUUACUUCAUCUCAUCAUGUAGGCAUUGUAUCAUCUCACAACAUCACAAGAAGAAUGAAGUUGCAAGUCACUCAAGGGAAAGCAGAAUUCAAGAAGUGGAUGUCACAAAGCCGACACUGAAAGUGUAAUACUUGGUACCAACCAGGUUUUUGAAGCCAUCAAUGAAGAAAACCCAGACACAGCAUUUGAACUGACACAGACACACACACCCCCCAAAACAAACUUCUGAGGAGCAAAACAAAAUAAGUCCACUCUAGUUUGAAAUUUCUUAAUUAAGGGGUUAUUCACAUAAAUUUUCACAUGCUUACCUUAACAUUUUAUUGGAUAGCUUCUUCAGUAUUUCUAAGACAAAACAAAAAAAUAUUAUAAUUGUUUAGAUCUUUUAAAUACUUAGUAGCUUCAGUUCAAGUUCAUUUUAUUUUGCUUUUUGAUUGGCACAAUUUUAUCUUCCCCUCCUUGCCUAAGACAUAUCCAAGAAAUGCAUUAUCCAAAGUGAUUUCAUUACUGGAAGAAUAUUCAUUAAAAUGUUUGCGAAGUCCUGUGGUUUGAUAGAAUUUGCCCUUUGUUCCACAGCUUUCAGGACUAAAGCGUCUCCAAUUUCAGAGUCGUAAACACUCUAAAACCAUUUUCCUAUCUGUACUUCUUAUAGCUGAGUGAUGCUUUUCCAGGGAAGAGAGGUCUGUUGGAAUUCCCAGCCCAAUUUUAGAUCCAG
rnacentral:lncRNA from 1 species